rnacentral:rRNA from 1 species
UACGAAGGGGGCUAGCGUUGCUCGGAAUCACUGGGCGUAAAGGGUGCGUAGGCGGGUCUUUUAAGUCAGGGGUGAAAUCCUGGAGCUCAACUCCAGAACUGCCUUUUGAUACUGAAGAUCUUGAGUUCGGGAGAGGUGAGUGGAACUGCGAGUGUAGAGGUGAAAUUCGUAGAUAUUCGCAAGAACACCAGUGGCGAAGGCGGCUCACUGGCCCGAUACUGACGCUGAGGCACGAAAGCGUGGGGAGCAAACAGGAUU